AACAAGGUGGUGAAAAGAGGAGGACUUGGUUUGAAUUUGCCAUUUUCAGUGGAAAACAAGUGGUGGUUACUUGUUAUGAUGACUAUGUACUUUGGACCUGGAUUUGCUGCACCUUUUUUUUUUUUUAUAGUAAGACACCAACUGCUU